rnacentral:rRNA from 1 species
AUGUCCCAUUAUCCUUUCGAUUGUAGUUUUCACCCUGGUAUGAGCAGAUGUCUUCUGAGGCUAGCCACAGAUUUUAGGAUGGACAAUAGGAUAGUUCCAUGGAACGAACUCACCGGUAGUGACACCAUAGUGAAUGAGUUGGCUCACAAAUUACGUAGGUCUAGGUGGCCUGAAAGGACCUAUGAGGAGGUACGUAAAGAACUUCUUAGGUUGCAUGAAAGGUGGAAGAAGGUAGUGGAGCCCAAGAGUGAAACUUUCAGAAGGAAUGCAACAAAGAAUCCAUAUUUAUGGACUGACGACAGCGAGGACAAAGAUGAUAUCUUCAUGCUGCCGCUUCCAGGUUCUGCAUCGUCGAAGGGCAAGAGUAGUGCCGCGUCGUCGAAGGGCAAGAAUGCUGCAUCAACGGAGGGCAAGAGGACCGCAACGUCGAAGGGCAAGAGGGUUGCACCAAUGAAGGAUGACGAUGAUGACUUCAUGUAG